rnacentral:rRNA from 1 species
GACGAACGCUGGCGGCGUGCCUAAUACAUGCAAGUCGAACGCAGUGGGGACGGGUGAGUAACACGUGGGUAACCUCCCAUCAGAGGGGAUAACACUUGGAAACAGGUGCUAAACCGAUACUGAUGGAUGGACCCGCGGUGCAUUAGCUAGUUGGUGAGGUAACGGCUCACCAAGGCCACGAUGCAUAGCCGACCUGGGAGGGUGAUCGGCCAAACCGGGACUGAAGCACGGCCCGGAAGCCGUCGGGAGGCAGAAGGAGGGAAUCUUCGGCAAUGGAAGAAAGUCUGACCCAGCAACGCCGCGGGAGGGAAGAAGGUUUUCGGAUCGUAAAGCCCUGUUUUUAAGGAAACGGUAACUAACCAGAAAGGGACGGCUAACUACGUGCCAGCAGCCGCGGUAAUAC